rnacentral:rRNA from 1 species
UACGUAGGGUGCGAGCGUUAAUCGGAAUUACUGGGCGUAAAGCGUGCGCAGGCGGUCUGUUAAGACCGAUGUGAAAUCCCCGGGCUUAACCUGGGAACUGCAUUGGUGACUGGCAGGCUUUGAGUGUGGCAGAGGGAGGUAGAAUUCCACGUGUAGCAGUGAAAUGCGUAGAGAUGUGGAGGAAUACCGAUGGCGAAGGCAGCCUCCUGGGCCAAAACUGACGCUCAUGCACGAAAGCGUGGGGAGCAAACAGG